rnacentral:rRNA from 1 species
ACGCGAUAAACCUUACCAACCCUUGACAUCGCCUGACCGGCCUGGAGACAGGUCUUUCCCGCAAGGGACAGGUGGACAGGUGCUGCAUGGCUGUCGUCAGCUCGUGUCGUGAGAUGUUCGGUUAAGUCCGGCAACGAGCGCAACCCACACCCUUGGUUGCCAGCACGUAAUGGUGGGCACUUUAGGGGAACUGCCCGUGAUAAGCGGGAGGAAGGUGUGGAUGACGUCAAGUCCUCAUGGCCCUUACGGG